AAUAUUGCACAAUGGACGCAAGUCUGCUGCAGCAACGCCGCGUGAGGGAUGACGGCCUUCGGGUUGUAAACCUCUUUUAGUAGGGCAGAAGCGAAAGUGACGGUACCUGCAGAACACGCACCGGCUCACUACGCGCCAGCAGCCGCGGUAAUACGUAGGGUGCAAGCGUUGUCCGGAAUUAGUGGGCGUAAAGAGCUCGUAGAGGGUUUGUCAGGUCUGAUGUGAAAUCUGGUGGCUCAACCAUCAGCUUGCAGUGGGUACGGGCAGGCUAGAGUGCGGUAGGGGGGAUUGGAAUUCCUGGUGUAGCGGUGGAAUGCGCAGAUAUCAGGAGGAACACCGAUGGCGAAGGCAGAUCUCUGGGCCGCUACUGACGCUGAGGAGCGAAAGCAUGGGGAGCGAAC
rnacentral:rRNA from 1 species